CACGUAGGGGCCAAGCGUUGUCCGGAUUUAUUGGGCGUAAAGCGCGCGCAGGCGGCUAUGUAAGUCUGAUGUUAAAGCCCGAGGCUCAACCUCGGUUCGCAUUGGAAACUGUGUAGCUUGAGUGCAGAAGAGGAAAGCGGUAUUCCACGUGUAGCGGUGAAAUGCGUAGAGAUGUGGAGGAACACCAGUGGCGAAGGCGGCUUUCUGGUCUGUAACUGACGCUGAGGCGCGAAAGCGUGGGGAGCAAACAGG
rnacentral:rRNA from 1 species